UGGGGAAUAUUGCACAAUGGGGGAAACCCUGAUGCAGCGACGCCGCGUGAGUGAAGAAGUAUUUCGGUACGUAAAGCUCUAUCAGCAGGGAAGAAAAAAAGUCCUUUGGACUUUGGACGGUACCUGACCAAGAAGCCCCGGCUAACUACGUGCCAGCAGCCGCGGUAAUACGUAGGGGGCAAGCGUUAUCCGGAUUUACUGGGUGUAAAGGGAGCGUAGACGGCAGCGCAAGUCUGGAGUGAAAUGCCGGGGCCCAACCCCGGAACUGCUUUGGAAACUGUGCAGCUCGAGUGCAGGAGAGGUAAGCGGAAUUCCUAGUGUAGCGGUGAAAUGCGUAGAUAUUAGGAGGAAUACCAGUGGCGAAGGCGGCUUACUGGACUGUAACUGACGUUGAGGCUCGAAAGCGUGGGGAGCAAACAGG
rnacentral:rRNA from 1 species